UACGUAGGGGCCGAGCGUUGUCCGGAGUUAUUGGGCGUAAAGCGCGCGCAGGCGGCCUCGCGCGCCCGACGUGAAAGCCCCCGGCUUAACCGGGGAGGGUCGUUGGGGACGGCGGGGCUUGAGGGCGGGAGAGGUCGGUGGAAUUCCCGGUGUAGUGGUGAAAUGCGUAGAGAUCGGGAGGAACACCUGUGGCGAAGGCGGCCGACUGGGCCGACCCUGACGCUGAGGCGCGAAGGCGUGGGGAGCAAACAGG
rnacentral:rRNA from 1 species